UACGUAGGGGGCAAGCGUUGUCCGGAAUCAUUGGGCGUAAAGAGCGUGUAGGCGGCUCGAUAAGUCUGCUGUGAAAGUCCAGGGCUCAACCCUGGAAGGCCGGUGGAAACUGUCGGGCUAGAGUCCGGAAGAGGCGAGUGGAAUUCCCGGUGUAGCGGUGAAAUGCGUAGAUAUCAAGAGGAACACCUGAGGUGAAGACGGGUUGCUGGGCUGACACUGACGCUGAGGCGCGAAAGCCAGGGGAGCAAACGGG
rnacentral:rRNA from 1 species